GUUUAGAAAGGCAGAGAAUGGUGGAGAAGAUGGAUAUUCUAGAUUUGGGGAUAAACUUGACCAAUACAUGGAGAUGGUGCAUAAAAUACACUUGAAAACCUUCUGAAUUGGAGAGAAGGGGUUUGCAGGAAAGCACAUCUUAAAAGAAAAAUACAAAAGCAAUGAUUUGAACACCCUCAGUUAUUUGCUCUAACAAGCAGUAGCUACCGCCAGGAUCUCUGGAAAAGAAGAACAUUCAUAUGAUCAUAAAGACUGAGAUUGAAAAAGGUGAUUGUUGAGGCAUAAAUUUUUGAUGAGUGACACAUUAGGAGAAAUAACAGUGGAAACUGUUUCAAGUCAAUGAUUAACACAAUGAAGAAACAAAUCAACUUGACUGUUAGGAACAAGGAAUAUUUGCCUUUCCAAAAACUUUAUGGUUGCAGGUAUCAGUUUCUUGCAUUGAUUGAGAAUGAUUUUUCAAAGAUGAGUUGACUAAGGCUUCCUGAUGCUUUCACCUGAAUUGUUCUCAAUGAUCAUAUAAAGAGUUUGCCCAAGAUAGGAUCUGGAAUAAGGCAAAACUGAGUCUUGGACUAAGUCUUUCACAGGAUGAUCAGUAUCAUCUACAAGAUGAUCUGAUCUGAUUAGGGUUAUGUGCAAAAAUAACAUCUCAAGACCAUAAGGGGAACAUGAGUCCUUGGAAGCAAAUAGAUUAAUUAUUAAUGUAGCAAACAUGAGAUAACAAGUAGCAGCCAAAGCCUAAAGAUGUGUUCAAGAUCUAAACAUAGGUUAGCAAUUUGGCAGCAUUGAAACAUAAUAAUAUCUGAAUACAAGAUUAUUGAA